rnacentral:rRNA from 1 species
CAGCAGUCGCCACGGUAAUACGUAGGUGGCGAGCGUUGUCCGGAAUCAUUGGGCGUAAAGGGAGCGCAGGCGGGCAUGUAAGUCUUUCUUAAAAGUUCGGGGCUCAACCCCGUGAUGGGAAAGAAACUACAGUCUUGAGUACAGGAGAGGAAAGCGGAAUUCCCAGUGUAGCGGUGAAAUGCGUAGAUAUUGGGAGGAACACCAGUGGCGAAGGCGGCUUUCUGGACUGCAACUGACGCUGAGGCUCGAAAGCCAGGGGAGCGAACGGGAUUAGAUACCCCUGUAGUCCAUGUCUCUUAUACAC